UACGUAGGGGGCAAGCGUUGUCCGGAUUUAUUGGGCGUAAAGAGCGUGUAGGCGGCCAUACAGGUCAGCUGUGAAAACUCGAGGCUCAACCUCGAGACGUCGGUUGAAACCGUUUGGCUAGAGUCCGGAAGAGGAGAGUGGAAUUCCUGGUGUAGCGGUGAAAUGCGCAGAUAUCAGGAAGAACACCCGUGGCGAAGGCGGUUCUCUGGGACGGUACUGACGCUGAGACGCGAAAGCGUGGGGAGCGAACAGG
rnacentral:rRNA from 1 species